AGGUGUCAUCAGUAGAGGGCUGGUGGUUGGAAGUUAGAGGAGUAGCUGUUUAUGAAUUCUAGACCUGGACAGUCUUUGUCAUUAAAUUGAUAUGUGACCCCAUGGGAUGCAAACAGGUUGAAGACAAGAGCUCUCUUUAAUGGAAACUGAACAGUGCCUAACUCCUGUAGAUAUUCACUGAAUGUUAAAUAACAACAGUGAUCAUGUAAUAAUGAUGCCCAAUUCACCUGUUACUGCCAGCAUGGCCUGAGAGCAUCCUGAGGUG
rnacentral:lncRNA from 1 species